UGGCGAACGGGUGAGUAACGCGUGAGGAACCUGCCUCAAAGAGGGGGACAACAGUUGGAAACGACUGCUAAUACCGCAUAAGCCCACGGGUCGGCAUCGACCUGAGGGAAAAGGAGCAAUCCGCUUUGAGAUGGCCUCGCGUCCGAUUAGCUAGUUGGUGAGGUAACGGCCCACCAAGGCGACGAUCGGUAGCCGGACUGAGAGGUUGGACGGCCACAUUGGGACUGAGACACGGCCCAG
rnacentral:rRNA from 1 species